GCUAUAAUAUCAUGAUUGCAGGUAUUCCCUUUGUUCUCGCAGGGCAAUUAAUAACUAAUACACCCUGCCAGAACAACGGGAAUACCCGCAAUCAUGAUAUUAU